rnacentral:rRNA from 1 species
GACGAACGCUGGCGGCGUGCUUAACACAUGCAAGUCGAACGGUGACCCAGGGCUUGCCCUGGUGAUCAGUGGCGAACGGUGAGUAACACGUGGGCAACCUGCCCCCUGACUUCGGGAUAACUCCUCGAAAGAGGAGCUAAUACCGGAUACGACCACUUCGGACAUCCGAUGGUGGUGGAAAGUUUUUCGGUCAGGGAUGGGCCCGCGGCCUAUCAGCUAGUUGGUGGGGUAAUGGCCUACCAAGGCGACGACGGGUAGCCGGCCUGAGAGGGCGACCGGCCACACUGGGACUGAGACACGGCCCAGACUCCUACGGGAGGCAGCAGUGGGGAAUAUUGCGCAAUGGGCGAAAGCCUGACGCAGCGACGCCGCGUGAGGGAUGAAGGCC